rnacentral:rRNA from 1 species
UGGGGAAUAUUGCACAAUGGGCGAAAGCCUGAUGCAGCAACGCCGCGUGAGCGAUGAAGGUCUUCGGAUUGUAAAGCUCUGUCUUUUGGGACGAUAAUGACGGUACCAAAGGAGGAAGCCACGGCUAACUACGUGCCAGCAGCCGCGGUAAUACGUAGGUGGCGAGCGUUGUCCGGAUUUACUGGGCGUAAAGGGUGCGUAGGCGGAUGUUUAAGUGAGAUGUGAAAUACCCGGGCUUAACUUGGGUGCUGCAUUUCAAACUGGAUAUCUAGAGUGCAGGAGAGGAGAAUGGAAUUCCUAGUGUAGCGGUGAAAUGCGUAGAGAUUAGGAAGAACACCAGUGGCGAAGGCGAUUCUCUGGACUGUAACUGACGCUGAGGCACGAAAGCGUGGGUAGCAAACAGGAUUAGAUACCCUGGUAGUCCACGCCGUAAACGAUGAGUACUAGGUGUAGGAGGUAUCGACCCCUUCUGUGCCGCAGUAAACACAUUAAGUACUCCGCCUGGGAAGUACGAUCGCAAGAUUAAAACUCUAAAGUGAAUUGAC